UGGGUAAUCAACCCUUCAGCUUGGGAUAACGACUUGAAAGGGUCGCUAAUACCGGAUACGGCGCGAGAGGCUUCGGCUUCUCACGAGAAAGCCUCGCAAGGGGCACUGAAGGACGAGCCUGCGGCCCAUCAGCUAGUUGGUGAGGUAAGAGCUCACCAAGGCUAAGACGGGUAGCUGGUCUGAGAGGAUGAUCAGCCACACUGGGACUGAGACACGGCCCAGACUCCG
rnacentral:rRNA from 1 species